rnacentral:rRNA from 1 species
UCAAACUGGAGAUGGCGACCGGCGCACGGGUGAGUAACACGUAUCCAACCUGCCGAUAACUCGGGGAGUAGCCUUUCGAAAGAAAGAUUAAUACCCGAUGGCAUAAUAGAACCGCAUGGUUUGAUUAUUAAAGAAUUUCGGUUAUCGAUGGGGAUGCGUUCCAUUAGGCAGUUGGUGGGGUAACGGCCCACCAAACCUUCGAUGGAUAGGGGUUCUGAGAGGAAGGUCCCCCACAUUGGAACUGAGACACGGUCCAAACUCCUACGGGAGGCAGCAUG